rnacentral:rRNA from 1 species
AUUGAACGCUGGCGGCAGGCCUAACACAUGCAAGUCGAACGAGUGGCGGACGGGUGAGUAAUGUCUGGGAAACUGCCCGAUGGAGGGGGAUAACUACUGGAAACGGUAGCUAAUACCGCAUACCAUCAGAUGUGCCCAGAUGGGAUUAGCUUGUAGGUGAGGUAACGGCUCACCUAGGCGACGAUCACUAGCAGGUAUGAGAGGAUGACCAUCCACACUGGAACUGAGACACGGGCCAGACUCCUACGGGAGGCAGCAGUGGGGAAUAUUGGACAAUGGGCGAAAGCCUGAUCCAGCCAUGCCGCGUGUGUGAAGAAGGUCUUCGGAUUGUAAAGCACUUUAAGUUGGGAGGCGUUACCAACAGAAUAAGCACCGGCUAACUUCGUGCCAGCAGCCGCGGUAAUAC